UGCAUUCUGUAUUCAGAAUGCUAUUAUUUUCCCUUCUAAACGUAUCAAACUGGUAAGAAUAUAGCUUGAGUGUUUGAGAUCAGAGAUGAGGCUUCACAUGAGCAGUCGGCUGAUGGGUCUGAGAAGUGAUACUCUGGAAAUAGACUGCUUUUUAACCCCUGUACCUCAAAAACAGCUGAAAAUUUUUAAUAAAAUGCAGUCAUACAAAAAUUGCCCCGAAGGUUUCUAUAGCCUUUAUAGGUUACACUCCGUACUCUUGGGUAGGGUCAGAUAGAGCACAAGAUUUUUUUUUUAAGGUGCCCCAAAUAGUUAAUGUAUUUGUCCUAUCUACAAAUUAACAAUUAAAGUGUUAUCGUUAAAAAAAAAAAAAAACUGCCAAAAAGUUUCUGUUUACAUUGUUAAAGGGACGCGCCACCUUUUAUUUGUGUCUAUAAUCAAUAAAUA